rnacentral:piRNA from 1 species
UGACCGAGUCUGCGAGGAUCGCCCGU